rnacentral:rRNA from 1 species
AGUAAUGGCAGGUCAGCAUACUGCCGUGAAUACGUUCCCGGGCCUUGUACACACCGCCCGUCACACCAUGAGAGUUGGAAAUACCCGAAGCCUGUGAGCUAACUUUUAGAGGCAGCAGUCGAAGGUAGAGCCAAUGAUUGGGUGAAGUCGUAACAAGGUAUC